rnacentral:rRNA from 1 species
AUUGAACGCUGGCGGCAGGCCUAACACAUGCAAGUCGAACGAGUGGCGGACGGGUGAGUAAUGUCUGGGAAACUUCCCGAUGGAGGGGGAUAACUACUGGAAACGGUAGCUAAUACCGCAUACCCUCGGAUGUGCCCAGAUGGGAUUAGCUAUUAGGUGGGGGACCGGCUCACCUGGGCGACGAUCCCUAGCUGGUCUUAGAGGAUGACCGGCAAAACUGGAACUGAGACACGGUCCAGACGCCUACGGUAGGCAGCAGGGGGGAAUAUUGCACAAUGGGCGCAAGCCUGAUGCAGCCAUGCCGAGUGUAUGAAGAAGGCCUUCGGGUUGUAAAGUACUUGCAGCGAGGAGGCGUUACUCGCAGAAGAAGCACCGGCUAACUCCGUGCCAGCCGCCGCGGUAAUUC